CCGGAAACGGUGUCUGCACCAGCACCGACAGCAGAAUCAAAAUCGAAGGAAUCCCGGUCGAGGACCGUCACGUUUCGCUCGUCUCUCCCACUCCCAUCGCGGACACCGCGGUUUCCUCUGCGGGUCGAACGCCUUUCCACGCCGCCGUGUCGGAGGACCGACCGCUGGAGCGCGGGUGGAUUUUCCAGAGAGAGGGGGAAGAAGGAGGAAGGGCAGGUCCCUCAUCAUCACCACCACUUUCACUCCCUUCAUCAUUUCCAAACAUCAUCAUCAUCAACAAUGCGACGAGGCGUGUCUGCGCUCCCUAGAAACAUACCGGAACACUAAACCAGCAGCAGCACCGAACAAAAUGCAUCGCGUUGACCGCACGCCGAGCCCUGACGCCGUUUGAUGUAGCACGUUUUAUUUUUUAUUUAUUUUUUUGAUCUGGAAAUUUCUUGACUUUGUUGAGAGAGCGAGCGAGCACUGCGACCUUGCAUCCAGCUGAAUGAACGAUGCGGACUUUACCAGCACCCUGAUUUAGCACCGCAUUUCCCACGGAUGUCCCUUUCACCACGCCAAACAGCUUCUCUUUUCUCCGAUCUGCGUGUUUUUAUGGGAGUGACGGAUAGCUAGUAGCCGAGACAAAAUGUGGAAAUGGAGGCGGCUGAUGCGGUUGUCCAACCGCUCCUUAAUGGCCUUCAUCUUUUUCUUCUCCAUGUCCACGACCUGCCUCUACUUCAUCUAUGUGGCCCCCGGAAUAGUCAACACAUAUUUCUUCAUGGUACAGGCUCAGGGUAUCAUGUUACGAGACAAUGUGCGGACAAUUGGUCACAUGAUCAGGCUAUACACCAAUAAGAACAGUACUCUCAACGGCACAGAUUAUCCAGAUGGAAAUAACUCUAGCGAGUAUAUCGCUCAGCCAACCACAUACCUCCCUGAGAACUUCACAUAUGCUCAGAACCUGCCCUGUCCCGAAAGGUUACCUUCUAUGAAGGGUCAGAUGGAAGUGAACAUGACAGAGGUACCUAUGGAGGAAAUCGAACUGAGGCUCAAAAAUCUGGACAUUCGAUUUGGAGGCCACUGGAAGCCCAAAGAUUGCAAACCACGCUGGAAGGUGGCCAUUUUAAUCCCCUUUAGGAAUCGCCAUGAGCAUCUUCCGAUUCUCUUUCAGCACCUCGCCCCUAUGCUCCAACGCCAACGCUUGCAGUUUGCCUUUUAUGCCAUUGAACAGACGGGUACUCAGCCGUUUAACCGUGCCAUGCUGUUUAACGUGGGCUUUAAAGAGGCCAUGAAAGACCUGGACUGGGACUGUGUGGUGUUUCACGACGUCGAUCACAUCCCAGAAAACGACCGUAAUUAUUACGGUUGUGGUCAGAUGCCUCGACACUUCGCCGCCAAGCUUGACAAGUACAUGUACAUCCUUCCCUAUAAUGAGUUUUUUGGUGGAGUCAGUGGACUUACUGUCGAACAAUUCCUCAAGAUCAAUGGCUUUCCUAAUGCAUUCUGGGGCUGGGGCGGAGAGGACGAUGACCUCUGGAACAGGGUUCAUUACGCAGGUUUCAAUGUGACCAGGCCAGAAGGUGAUAUUGGGAAAUACAAAUCUAUCCCCCAUCACCACAGAGGAGAGGUGCAGUUCCUGGGGAGGUAUAAGUUGCUGAGGUACUCUAAAGAACGACAGCAUCUGGACGGCUUGAACAAUCUGCAGUACUCUCCGGAGAUCUCUCUGAGCAGCCUGUAUAAGAACAUCACGGUCAAUCUGAAUCCCGAGCUAGCCCCCAUAGCAGAGUACUGAGUCAAAAAAAUGUGACGUAUCGAUGCCAAAUGCCCUUAAAAACAGGAGCGAGGAGGGCAGAGGCCUGUCUAAUGCACAGUUAGUUGCGUGACUAAAGGAGGGGGUGACGUUGCGCUCCGAUAAGGCCGAGAUGAGAGAGCGAUGUCGCCGUUGCUCUUGAAUGGCAUCCGGAGUACACUUGGGCCAUGACGACUUUAUGCUGUUAAAGUUUCGAGCAUUACAAGCUGUUGGAAAACUUUUUGUUGGUCCAUGUUUGCCUUUUGUAUGUAAUUUACAUUUUUUGGAGUUGUCGAUAUAACAUGUCGCAUUUAUUUUUUGUGUAUAUUUUAACUUAUCAUAUAAAUGUCCUAAAACUGCUGUUUCAUAUCCUCUCAUGCUGUCUGUGUGUGUGUGUUUGUGUGUCCAUUCGGAGAAUUACACAUUGAGGGCGAGAUUGUGUCAGCAGCAUAGUUUGCGACACAAACUGCACUUUGUGACACUUGAAGUUAAGACACUCACAGUUCACAGAAAUGCUACACUCCUCUCUUUCCAUCUGCGUGUCUCUGAGGUGUGGUUGAGCCAUGGCUUCUCUUUGGUCGUCCGAUUGCUUUGUGGACUUCGUCUUAACACUAGUAUGGUCUUCUCCCAUUGAUGGUGUCCCUGACGGGAUCUCCAGUGCCCAGUCUGUUGUUUACAGUCUUUUCUUAUACCAUCAGACUUACAGUUGGGUCUGAAAAGACCUGUUUACUGUGGUUACGGGUUACAAAAAACAUUUGACCAAUUCAGACUAGGAAUCAAAGAAUGCUGUCAUAUAAUAUACUGAAUAUGAUAUGGAGGCUACUGCUGCCAAAGUAUGCUUUUCCUCUUCCUCGUCCCUUUCGCUCUCCUCAUCUUUCAGCAUUGUAUAGUGAAAUGUAGCUCUAGGACAUCUGCUCAAUCUAAACUUUUCGAUCCAGUCACGCUGAGUGUGUAUUCAAGUGAGUUUGUGUAUAUGUGGUGUCACAUGAAACGCAACUGAAAAACCCCUCAUCUCCCUUUUCCACCGCACAGGGCCAAUAAAUGAACAUAAGCAAAGUUGGAGGCAAGCUGUUGGUUUAUGCCCUGUAUUCGUGUUGAAGCAGCCGGUGAGAUAUAAACACUUGAUAGGUGUUGUUUAAUGUAAAAAUAGAGGCAUUUUAGACUGGGUUUAGGCUUUUGAAGAGAGAAGUGUGGCUUAUGAGCACUAGUUUCUAAAAAAUAAAUGAGUGUCAUUCCGCCUUCACAGUUUUCUUGUUUUGCAGGCACUUUAAUGGAGUAAUGAUUAGUCUUAUGCUGCAAUACAAAGUCAGAUAGGCCUGUUACAAAUUAAUCAUUAGCUUUUGCACGACAGCGAAAUGGUUUUAUUUGGAACACAGAUUGUGACUGAAAGUUACACAUUGUUCUUAAAGUAAGGUGGGUUGCAAUAUAAAAACUUAAUGUUAAGUUGAUUUUUAUUGUUAUUUUACUUUUUUUUUUU